rnacentral:rRNA from 1 species
UACGAACUGUGCAAACGUUAUUCGGAAUCACUGGGCUUAAAGGGUGCGUAGGCGGCUUAGCAAGUAGGGUGUGAAAGCCCCCGCUUAACCGGGGAAUUGCGCCCUAAACUGCUGAGCUGGAGUGAGAUAGGGGUGUGUGGAACUUCCGGUGGAGCGGUGAAAUGUGCUGAUAUCGGAAGGAACGCCGGUGGCGAAAGCGACACACUGGAUCUCAACUGACGCUGAGGCACGAAGGCCAGGGGAGCGAACGGG